rnacentral:rRNA from 1 species
AUUGAACGCUGGCGGCAUGCCUUACACAUGCAAGUCGAACGGCAGCGCGGGGCAACCUGGCGGCGAGCGGCGAACGGGUGAGGAAUACAUCGGAACGUACCCGAGAGUGGGGGAUAACGCCGCGAAAGCGGCGCUAAUACCGCAUAUUCUCCGAGGAGGAAAGUGGGGGACCGCAAGGCCUCACGCUCACGGAGCGGCCGAUGUCGGAUUAGCUAGUUGGUGGGGUAAAGGCUUACCAAGGCGACGAUCCGUAGCUGGUCUGAGAGGAUGAUCAGCCACACUGGGACUGAGACACGGCCCAGACUCCUACGGGAGGCAGCAGUGGGGAAUUUUGGACAAUGGGGGCAACCCUGAUCCAGCCAUGCCGCGUGCGGGAA